ACUGCUCAGUAACACGUGGACAACCUACCCUUUGGACGGGGAUAACCCCGGGAAACUGGGAAUAAUACCCGAUAGAUCUGAGAUGCUGGAAUGCACUCAGAUUGAAAGCUCCGGUGCCGAAGGAUGGGUCUGCGGCCUAUCAGGUAGUAGUGGGUGUAGCGUACCUACUAGCCUACGACGGGUACGGGUUGUGAGAGCAAGAGCCCGGAGAUGGAUUCUGAGACACGAAUCCAGGCCCUACGGGGUGCAGCAGGCGCGAAAACUUUACAAUGCCGGCAACGGCGAUAAGGGGACCUCGAGUGCCAGGUUACAAUCCUGGCUGUCGUAAUGCCUAAAAAGCAUUGCAUAGCAAGGGCCGGGCAAGACCGGUGCCAGCCGCCGCGGUAACACCGGCGGCUCGAGUGGUAACCGUUAUUAUUGGGUCUAAAGGGUCUGUAGCCGGCCGGAUAAGUCUCUUGGGAAAUCUGGCAGCUUAACUGUCAGGCUUUCAGGAGAUACUGUUCGGCUCGAGACCGGGAGAGGUGAGAGGUACUUCAGGGGUAGGGGUGAAAUCUUGUAAUCCUUGAAGGACCACCAGUGGCGAAGGCGUCUCACCAGAACGGAUCUGACGGCAAGGGACGAAAGCUAGGGGCACGAACCGGAUUAGAUACCCGGGUAGUCCUAGCCGUAAACAAUACUCGCUAGGUGUCGGCCACGGUGCGACCGUGGUCGGUGCCGUAGGGAAACCGUGAAGCGAGCCACCUGGGAAGUACGGCCGCAAGGCUGAAACUUAAAGGAAUUGGCGGGGGAGCAC
rnacentral:rRNA from 1 species